GACGAACGCUGGCGGCGUGCCUAAUACAUGCAAGUAGAACGCUGAAGAGAGGAGCUUACUCUUCUUGGAUGAGUUGCGAACGGGUGAGUAACGCGUAGGUAACCUGCCUUUUAGCGGGGGAUAACUAUUGGAAACGAUAGCUAAUACCGCAUAACAAUGGAUGACACAUGUCAUUUAUUUGAAAGGGGCAAUUGCUCCACUACAAGAUGGACCUGCGUUGUAUUAGCUAGUAGGUGAGGUAAUGGCUCACCUAGGCGACGAUACAUAGCCGACCUGAGAGGGUGAUCGGCCACACUGGGACUGAGACACGGCCCAGACUCCUACGGGAGGCAGCAGUAGGGAAUCUUCGGCAAUGGGGGCAACCCUGACCGAGCAACGCCGCGUGAGUGAAGAAGGUUUUCGGAUCGUAAAGCUCUGUUGUAAGUCAAGAACGGGUGUGAGAGUGGAAAGUUCACACUGUGACGGUCGCUUACCAGAAAGGGACGGCUAACUACGU
rnacentral:rRNA from 1 species